GGGGAUGUAGCUCAGAUGGUAGAGCGCUCGUCUAGCAUGCGAGAGGCAUGGGAAUCGAUACCCCUCUUCUCCA
rnacentral:tRNA from 1 species